rnacentral:tRNA from 1 species
AGACAAUUAGUUUAAGCAAAACCUUUGACUUCGGCUCAAAAACUUAUGGUUAAAAUCCAUAACUGUCUA